rnacentral:lncRNA from 1 species
CUAGUUCAGGUCCUGGCGAAGAGUGCGGCGAGCAAAAAAAGCUUCCCCCCCUGAAAAUGGUGGAAAGUCAAAUAUAAAAUACUUAUUCACGUGCACGCAUGCGCUUACGCUACGUAUCUGUUGAGUAAUUUUUUUUUUUUUUUUUUCCCCCAGAGCAACCAAAGUGCUACGGCCGGGGCUCUCCCCGUAGCUAUACGACCAUACAAUGACAAUCUGGACCGAAAAGUGCGUUUUAUAGCUAAACGACGCGGUAUUUUUCCCCAGUCAAAGUAAUGAAAAGCAUCAGUCAGUGUGGAUUAAUUGAGUCUCUCUCGGGUCUGCUGCUGAGCAUCGCCAUAGUUGGUACAAAAAAAGAAAAUAAUACACUAAUAUAAUUUUUAAACAUUUUUGAUGAUUUCACAGCGCAAUCAUGUUUACGAUGCUGUAUCAUAAUGUAAGCGAUGUAAUAAUUAUGUAGAGCAUGUAGCAGACCUGACGAGACUUACACGUAAAACAAAUGCAUUUCAGCAUAUUAUAGACGCGUAUUUAGUCGGUCUUUACAGCUGAGAAGGUUCUGCUUAUUUUAGGAGACUAGGCAUGGCAAAGGACUCCUGAAUUUUGAUUAAUUUCAGUUCAGUUCAUUUUUAAACGGUACACGACGUCCGUGCGCGCGCACGCCCGCGUGUGAUUGUUCGGUGUCGGGCUGGACUGGUCUCCAGCCUCGGGUGUAUAAUUCUUUCUCGAAAUUAAUCAAAAUGACAACGUUUUCAUCCCACACUAAUUAAUUUGUACAAAUUCAUUACGUCGCAUCACAGCACAAUAACGACUCCUUUGUACUUGCCUCAUAAUUUUGUCUUUUUGUGAGGUGUUUCGGAACAGAUCAUUGAACGGAAAUGACGUUGAACUGGGUCCUCGUGUUACGACCGCUGUUUCCGAAGAUGUUUGUGAUUUUCAUUUGAAUCACUUUUCAAAAUUUUCUGGUUGUUGUGGAGCAAACCAGGCCCGCUUUUCCACACACAUAGGCCUACAGCCUUUAGUUUUCACGCAGGCAAGGUGUAGGGAGAAGCCCAGGGGGAAUUUGGAGAGCUCGAGAGUACUAAAUGGCGAGCCCGGGUCCUCGUGCGUCUCAC